rnacentral:rRNA from 1 species
CAGCAGCCGCGGGAAAACGUAGGGUGCGAGCGUUAAUCGGAAUUACUGGGCGUAAAGCGUGCGCAGGCGGUUUUGUAAGACAGGCGUGAAAUCCCCGGGCUCAACCUGGGAAUGGCGCUUGUGACUGCAAAGCUAGAGUGCGGCAGAGGGGGAUGGAAUUCCGCGUGUAGCAGUGAAAUGCGUGGAUAUGCGGAGGAACACCGAUGGCGAAGGCAGCCCCCUGGGCCAAUACUGACGCUCAUGCACGAAAGCGUGGGGAGCAAACAGGAUUAGAUACCCCUGUAGUCCCUGUCUCUUAUAC